GAUGAACGCUGGCGGCGUGCCUAAUACAUGCAAGUCGAGCGAACGGACGAGAAGCUUGCUUUUCUGAUGUUAGCGGCGGACGGGUGAGUAACACGUGGAUAACCUACCUAUAAGACUGGGAUAACUUCGGGAAACCGGGGCUAAUACCGGAUAAUAUUUUGAACCGCAUGGUUCAAAAGUGAAAGACGGUCUUGCUGUCACUUAUAGAUGGAUCCGCGCUGCAUUAGCUAGUUGGUAAGGUAACGGCUUACCAAGGCAACGAUGCAUAGCCGACCUGAGAGGGUGAUCGGCCACACUGGAACUGAGACACGGUCCAGACUCCUACGGGAGGCAGCAGUAGGGAAUCUUCCGCAAUGGGCGAAAGCCUGACGGAGCAACGCCGCGUGAGUGAUGAAGGUCUUCGGAUCGUAAAACUCUGUUAUUAGGGAAGAGCAUAUGUGUAAGUAACUGUGCACAUCUUGACGGUACCUAAUCAGAAAGCCACGGCUAACUACGUG
rnacentral:rRNA from 1 species